GACGAACGCUGGCGGCGUGCCUAAUACAUGCUAAGUCGAGCGGAACUUAGAAAGCUUGCUUUCUAAGUUUAGCGGCGGACGGGUGAGUAACACGUGGGCAACCUGCCUAUAAGACUGGGAUAACUUCGGGAAACCGGAGCUAAUACCGGAUAAUAUAAAAGAUCACAUGGUCUUUUAUUGAAAGAUGGCUUCGGCUAUCACUUAUAGAUGGGCCCGCGGCGCAUUAGCUAGUUGGUGAGGUAAUGGCUCACCAAGGCGACGAUGCGUAGCCGACCUGAGAGGGUGAUCGGCCACACUGGGACUGAGACACGGCCCAGACUCCUACGGGAGGCAGCAGUAGGGAAUCUUCCGCAAUGGACGAAAGUCUGACGGAGCAACGCCGCGUGAACGAUGAAGGCCUUCGGGUCGUAAAGUUCUGUUGUUAGGGAAGAACAAGUAUCGUUCGAAUAGGGCGGUACCUUGACGGUACCUAACCAGAAAGCCACGGCUAACUACGUG
rnacentral:rRNA from 1 species